rnacentral:lncRNA from 1 species
CUAUGUGGCUAACCAGAAGGGGAGGUUUUGGUGUGUAGAUGAUGGAAGGAGAAGGGGGCGAUACAAGGAGAAAACCCUAGUUUGAUUGCUUCUACAUGCCCAAGAGAACCCAUCCUUUUAUAGAUGGCGGCCAAGGGAUGGGAUAGAGUUCAAUUAUUUUUAAACUCUUAUCUGAUAAGAGCUUAAGUUAAAACUUAAACCAAUCCAAACCAGUC